rnacentral:misc_RNA from 1 species
CGCACCUUGCGCCCCCUGGUAUUCCGGAGGGCAUGCCUGUUUGAGUGUCUUGAUAUCAUCAACCCCUCGGGUUCGCGCCCGACGCGGGUUGGAGUUGGGGGCUUGCUGCCGUGAGGCGGCUCCCCUUAAAAUCAUCGGUUUGGCCCGCAUCGUGCGGCUUGCACCUUUGGCGUCGUAUCUCCUUCGCCUUCGAUCGGUCCUGCUCGCUUCCGCGCCUCACCUCGACUUGCCCUUUGGGUGGCGGUCACUUCUUGACAAUCUGGCCUCAAAUCAGGUAGGACUACCCGCUGAACUUAA